rnacentral:miRNA from 1 species
UGUCCGCUGGCUUACUCUCUCU